rnacentral:rRNA from 1 species
AAAAGGCGGCGUAAGCUGUCGCUAAAGGAUGGACCCGCGGUGCAUUAGCUAGUUGGUAAGGUAACGGCUUACCAAGGCGACGAUGCAUAGCCGAGUUGAGAGACUGAUCGGCCACAUUGGGACUGAGACACGGCCCAAACUCCUACGGGAGGCAGCAGUAGGGAAUCUUCCACAAUGGGCGAAAGCCUGAUGGAGCAACGCCGCGUGAGUGAAGAAGGUUUUCGGAUCGUAAAGCUCUGUUGUUGGUGAAGAAGGAUAGAGGUAGUAACUGGCCCCUAUUUGACGGUAAUCAACCAGAAAGUCACGGCUAACUACGUGCCAGCAGCCGCGGUAAUACGUAGGUGGCAAGCGUUGUCCGGAUUUAUUGGGCGUAAAGCGAGCGCAGGCGGAAAGAUAAGUCUGAUGUGAAAGCCCCCGGCUUAACCGAGGAAUUGCAUCGGAAACUGUGUUUCUUGAGUGCAGAAGAGGAGAGUGGAACUCCAUGUGUAGCGGUGGAAUGCGUAGAUAUAUGGAAGAACACCAGUGGCGAAGGCGGCUCUCUGGUCUGUAACUGACGCUGAGGCUCGAAAGCAUGGGUAGCGAACAGGAUUAGAUACCCUGGUAGUCCAUGCCGUAAGCGAUGAGUGCUAAGUGUUGGGAGGUUUCCGCCUCUCA